AGUGAACGCUGGCGGUAGGCCUAACACAUGCAAGUCGAACGGCAGCACAGUAAGAGCUUGCUCUUACGGGUGGCGAGUGGCGGACGGGUCAGGAAUACAUCCGACUCUACUUUUUCGUGGGGGAUCACGUAGGUAAACUUACGCUAAUACCGCAUACCACCUACGGGUGAAAGCAGGGGAUCUUCUGACCUUGCGCGAUUGAAUGCGCCGAUGUCGGAUUAGCUAGUUGGCGGGGUAAAGGCCCACCAAGGCGACGAUCCGUAGCUGGUCUGAGAGGAUGAUCAGCGACACUGGAACUGAGACAGGGUCAAGACGCCUAAGGGAGGCAGCAGUGGGGAAUAUUGGACAAUGGGCGCAAGCCUGAUCCAGCCAGACUGCGUGUGUGAAGAAGGCCUUCGGGUUGUAAAGACCUUUUGUUGGGAAAGAAAAGCAGCAGGUUAAGACGCAGCGGUUCUGACGGUACCCAAAGAAGAAGCACCGGCUAACUUCGUG
rnacentral:rRNA from 1 species